rnacentral:rRNA from 1 species
AUUGAACGCUGGCGGUAUGCUUAACACAUGCAAGUCGAACGGUAACAGGCCUUCGGGCGCUGACGAGUGGCGGACGGGUGAGUAACGCGUAGGAAUCUGCCUCAUAGUGGGGGACAACGUGUGGAAACGCACGCUAAUACCGCAUACGCCCUACGGGGGAAAGCGGGGGACCUUCGGGCCUCGUGCUAUGAGAUGAGCCUGCGUUAGAUUAGCUAGUUGGUAGGGUAAAGGCCUACCAAGGCGACGAUCUAUAGCUGGUCUGAGAGGACGAUCAGCCACACUGGGACUGAGACACGGCCCAGACUCCUACGGGAGGCAGCAGUGGGGAAUAUUGGACAAUGGGCGCAAGCCUGAUCCAGCAAUACCGCGUGUGUGAAGAAGGCCCUAGGGUUGUAAAGCACUUUCAAUAGGGAGGAAAACCUGUCGGUCAAUACCCGGCAGCUUGACAUUACCUAUACAAGAAGCACCGGCUAACUCCGUGCCAGCAGCCGCAGUAA